GACGAACGCUGGCGGCGUGCUUAACACAUGCAAGUCGAGCGGUAAGGCCCUUUCGGGGGUACACGAGCGGCGAACGGGUGAGUAACACGUGGGUGACCUGCCCUUAGCUCUGGGAUAAGCCUGGGAAACUGGGUCUAAUACCGGAUAUGACUCCAUAACGCAUGUUGUGGGGUGGAAAGCCCUGUGCGGCUAGGGGAUGGGCCCGCGGCCUAUCAGCUUGUUGGUGGGGUGAUGGCCUACCAAGGCGACGACGGGUAGCCGGCCUGAGAGGGCGACCGGCCACACUGGGACUGAGACACGGCCCAGACUCCCACGGGAGGCAGCAGUGGGGAAUCUUGCGCAAUGGGCGAAAGCCUGA
rnacentral:rRNA from 1 species